UGAGUAACGCGUGGGUAACCUGCCCUUAAGUCUGGGAUACCAUUUGGAAACAGAUGCUAAUACCGGAUAAAAGCUACUUUCGCAUGAAAGAAGUUUAAAAGGCGGCGUAAGCUGUCGCUAAAGGAUGGACCUGCGAUGCAUUAGCUAGUUGGUAGGGUAACGGCCUACCAAGGCGAUGAUGCAUAGCCGAGUUGAGAGACUGAUCGGCCACAUUGGGACUGAGACACGGCCCAAACUCCUACGGGAGGCAGCAGUG
rnacentral:rRNA from 1 species